UACGUAGGUGACAAGCGUUGUCCGGAUUUACUGGGCGUAAAGAGCGCGCAGGCGGUCGAUCAAGUCGAGUGUGAAAGCCCCCGGCUCAACUGGGGCGGGUCAUUCGAUACUGAUCGACUCGAAGGCAGGAGAGGGUAGUGGAAUUCCCGGUGUAGUGGUGAAAUGCGUAGAUAUCAGGAGGAACACCGGUGGCGAAGGCGGGUCUCUGGGCCGAUACUGACGCUGAGGAGCGAAAGCGUGGGGAGCGAACAGG
rnacentral:rRNA from 1 species